rnacentral:tRNA from 1 species
GCCCAGAUGGCGGAAUUGGUAGACGCGCUAGACUCAAAAUCUUGUAUUCGCAAGGAUGUGCAGGUUCGAUUCCUGUUCUGGGCACCA